CCUACGGGUGGCAGCAGUGGGGGAUAUUGGGCAAUGGAGGCAACCCUGAUCCAGCGACGCCGCGUGAGUGAAGAAGUACCUCGGAAUGUAAAGCUCUAUCAGCAGGGAUGAAGAAAUGACGGUUACUGAGUAAGCAGCCCCGGCUAACUACGUUGCAGCAGCCGCGGUAAUACGUAGGGGGCAAGCGUUAUCCGGAAUUACUGGGUGGAAAGGGAGCGUAGACGGUGAUGUAAGUCUGGAGUGAAAGGCGGGGGCCCAACCCCCGGACUGCUCCCGAAACUAUGUGACUGGAGUGCAGGAGAGGUGAGUGGAAUUCCUAGUGUAGCGGUGAAAUGCGUAGAUAUUAGGAGGAACACCAGUGGCGAAGGCGGCUCACUGGACUGUAACUGACGCUGAGGCUCGAAAGCGUGGGGAGCAAACAGGAUUAGAUACCCGAGUAGUC
rnacentral:rRNA from 1 species